rnacentral:rRNA from 1 species
AGAGUUUGAUCCUGGCUCAGGACGAACGCUGGCGGCGUGCUUAACACAUGCAAGUCGAACGGUGACUCACCUUCGGGUGAUGAUCAGUGGCGAACGGGUGAGUAACACGUGGGCAACCUGCCCUUAGCUCUGGGAUAACGAGUCGAAAGAGGUGCUAAUACCGGAUACCACCUCCCUCGGCAUCGGGGGAGGUUGAAAGUUCCUCGGUCAGGGAUGGGCCCGCGGCCUAUCAGCUAGUUGGUGAGGUAACGGCCCACCAAGGCGACGACGGGUAGCCGGCCUGAGAGGGCGACCGGCCACACUGGGACUGAGACACGGCCCAGACUCCUACGGGAGGCAGCAGUGGGGAAUAUUGCGCAAUGGGCGAAAGCCUGACGCAGCAACGCCGCGUGAGGGAUGACGGCCUUCGGGUUGUAAACCUCUUUCAGCAGGGACGAAGCGAAAGUGACUGUACCUGCAGAAGAAGCGCCGGCUAACUACGUGCCAGCAGCCGCGGUAAUACGUAGGGCGCAAGCGUUGUCCGGAUUUAUUGGGCGUAAAGAGCUCGUAGGCGGUCUGUCGCGUCGGAAGUGAAAACCCGGAGCUCAACUCCGGGCCUGCUUUCGAUACGGGCAGACUUGAGUACUGCAGGGGAGACUGGAAUUCCUGGUGUAGCGGUGGAAUGCGCAGAUAUCAGGAGGAACACCGGUGGCGAAGGCGGGUCUCUGGGCAGAAACUGACGCCGAGGAGCGAAAGCGUGGGGAGCGAACAGGAUUAGAUACCCUGGUAGUCCACGCCGUAAACGGUGGGCACUAGGUGUGGGGACCAUUCCACGGUCUCUGCGCCGCAGCUAACGCAUUAAGUGCCCCGCCUGGGGAGUACGGCCGCAAGGCUAAAACUCAAAGGAAUUGACGG